UUUCCAGGGGGGGCAGUUGCACUGGAGAAUAGUUUACUCUGUGAUUGGUUAGCAGUGAGGGGAAGGUGGGUUAGUAACUGGCUGUCCAUUUUAUAGUGUGGUGUUGUUAGUGUCGUGUUCACGAAGGCCCGUACUUGGGCGCUAUCCUGAGGGAACCGAAUCCACUCGCCCCAUGACGCCGUAUUUAUAAGAGGUGCUGAUAUUUGCGUUACAUCGUCCUGGUAAGCAGACAAUAUUUUGUAGCAGGCUUACUCGUGCAACUCCUUACAAACAAAUAACCUGCAGUUCUGGAUAUCCGUCACACCCAUUUCGAAGAGACGGAACGAAAAAUUGGAAGAAACCUGAAUAUAGCUGCUAGAUAGCAACGCCACGAGCCAACGCAUAGCGUAUAUAAAGCUCAAGAACCCUUAGGUGCAUGCGUUGUGCAGUGCGCAACUUUGAUUCGUUCUUCUGGUCAGUUCACACGAAAUUAGUAGCACAACACAACAUGGUGAUAACCUUAGAUUACAGAGAACAGUGAUUUGUGGAAGAGGUUAAUCUCUGACCAAGAAUCAACGAAAACGGGGAAUUAUUUAUUCCCAACGUACAAGAUUAUUAUUUCAGUUUGUAGCCGUUCUUGUCCGUAACCGCGUGGCAAGAGACAAUUGUUAAUUUAUAAAUGGCGCCUCUUCCGGAUUAUAGGGCCACAGACACAGCCACUGAAAACGGUUUCCCUGCAGAAUACAUAGUCGCGAUAAUCGUAGGAGUGUUCGUGUUGCUCUGCGUCAUUAUUUUCGUUGUGUACGCGUCUGGGAAAUUCGGACCUUGCGCCUGUUGUGGGCCUUGGCUCUGCUGUUGCUGUUCCUGUUGCUGUGAAAGCACCCCCAAAGAAACAAUUCCCGGUCUCCCUGUAGAACGAAGAGAGAAAGACAAGUGCAGUUCGGAUACUCCAGCUUUUCCGGUUUUCGUAUGGACAGGCUGUUGCGACGGCGAUGGUGAUUGUUGUGGCGGCGACGAUGAUUGUUGUGGCGGCGACGGUGAUUGCAGUGGCGGCUGCGGUGAUUGCAGUGGCGGU